AGUUAUCGUUUAUUUGAUAGUACCUUACUACUUGGAUAACCGUGGUAAUUCUAGAGCUAAUACAUGCUAAAAAUCCCGACUUUGGAAGGGAUGUAUUUAUUAGAUUAAAAACCAAUGCCCUCUGGGCUCUCUGGUGAUUCAUAAUAACUUCUCGAAUCGCACGGCCUUGCGCCGGCGAUGGUUCAUUCAAAUUUCUUCCCUAUCAACUUUCGAUGUUUGGGUAGUGGCCAAACAUGGUUGCAACGGGUAACGGAGGGUUAGGGCUCGACCCCGGAGAAGGAGCCUGAGAAACGGCUACUACAUCCAAGGAAGGCAGCAGGCGCGCAAAUUACCCAAUCCCGAUUCGGGGAGGUAGUGACAAUAAAUACUGAUACAGGGCUCUUUUGGGUCUUGUAAUUGGAAUGAGUACAAUUUAAAUCCCUUAACGAGGAACAAUUGGAGGGCAAGUCUGGUGCCAGCAGCCGCGGUAAUUCCAGCUCCAAUAGCGUAUAUUAAAGUUGUUGUGGUUAAAAAGCUCGUAGUUGAACCUUGGGCCUGGCUGGCCGGUCCGCCUCACCGCGUGUACUGGUCCGGCCGGGCCUUUCACACUGCGGAACCCCAUGCCCUUCACUGGGUGUGGCGGGGAAGCAGGACUUUUACUUUGAAAAAAUUAGAGUGCUCCAGGCAGGCCUAUGCUCGAAUACAUUAGCAUGGAAUAAUAAAAUAGGACGUGCGGUUCUAUUUUGUUGGUUUCUAGGACCGCCGUAAUGAUUAAUAGGGACAGUCGGGGGCAUCAGUAUUCAAUUGUCAGAGGUGAAAUUCUUGGAUUUAUUGAAGACUAACUACUGCGAAAGCAUUUGCCAAGGAUGUUUUCAUUAAUCAGGAACGAAAGUUAGGGGAUCGAAGACGAUCAGAUACCGUCGUAGUCUUAACCAUAAACUAUGCCGACUAGGGAUCGGACGAUGUUAUUUUUUGACUCGUUCGGCACCUUACGAGAAAUCAAAGUG
rnacentral:rRNA from 1 species